CAACGCGAAGAACCUUACCUGGUCUUGACAUCCACAGAAGAAUCCAGAGAUGGAUUUGUGCCUUCGGGAACUGUGAGACAGGUGCUGCAUGGCUGUCGUCAGCUCGUGUUGUGAAAUGUUGGGUUAAAUCCCGCAACGAGCGCAACCCUUAUCCUUUGUUGCCAGCGAUUAGGUCGGGAACUCAAAGGAGACUGCCAGUGAUAAACUGGAGGAAGGUGGGGAUGACGUCAAGUCAUCAUGGCCCUUACGACCAGG
rnacentral:rRNA from 1 species